rnacentral:rRNA from 1 species
CCUACGGGUGGCAGCAGUGAGGAAUAUUGGUCAAUGGCCGGAAGGCUGAACCAGCCAAGCCGCGUGAGGGAGGAAGGCGCAGAGCGUCGCAGACCUCUUUUGCCGGGGAGCAAGGGCGGGGACGUGUCCCGGCCCGGAGAGUACCCGGAGAAAAAGCAUCGGCUAACUCCGUGCCAGCAGCCGCGGUAAUACGGAGGAUGCGAGCGUUAUCCGGAUUUAUUGGGUUUAAAGGGUGCGUAGGCGGGCUUUUAAGUCAGCGGUAAAAAUUCGGGGCUCAACCCCGUCCGGCCGUUGAAACUGGGGGCCUUGAGUGGGCGAGAGGAAGGCGGAAUGCGUGGUGUAGCGGUGAAAUGCAUAGAGAUCACGCAGAACCCCGAUUGCGAAGGCAGCCUUCCGGCGCCCUACUGACGCUGAGGCACGAAAGUGCGGGGAUCGAACAGGAUUAGAUACCCGUGUAGUC